rnacentral:misc_RNA from 1 species
GAUGAAGAACGUAGCGAAAUGCGAUAAGUAGUGUGAAUUGCAGAAUUCAGUGAAUCAUCGAAUCUUUGAACGCACAUUGCGCCCCUUGGUAUCCCGAGGGGCAUGCCUGUUCGAGCGUCAUUUACCACUCAAGCCUGGCUUGGUGUUGGGCGACGUCCCCUUUGGGGACGCGCCUCGAAACGCUCGGCGGCGUGGCACCGGCUUUAAGCGUAGCAGAAUCUUUCGCUUUGGAAGUCGGGGCCCCGUCUGCCGGAAGACCUACUCGCAAGGUUGACCUCGGAUCAGGCAGGGAUACCCGCUGAACUUAAGCAUAUCAAUAAGCGGAGGA